CGGUAGCUAAUACCGCAUAACGUCGCAAGACCAAAGAGGGGGACCUUCGGGCCUCUUGCCAUCAGAUGUGCCCAGAUGGGAUUAGCUAGUAGGUGGGGUAACGGCUCACCUAGGCGACGAUCCCUAGCUGGUCUGAGAGGAUGACCAGCCACACUGGAACUGAGACACGGUCCAGACUCCUACGGGAGGCAGCAGUGGGGAAUAUUGCACAAUGGGCGCAAGCCUGAUGCAGCCAUGCCGCGUGUAUGAAGAAGGCCUUCGGGUUGUAAAGUACUUUCAGCGGGGAGGAAGGUGUUGUGGUUAAUAACCACAGCAAUUGACGUUACCCGCAGAAGAAGCACCGGCUAACUCCGUGCCAGCAGCCGCGGUAAUACGGAGGGUGCAAGCGUUAAUCGGAAUUACUGGGCGUAAAGCGCACGCAGGCGGUCUGUCAAGUCGGAUGUGAAAUCCCCGGGCUCAACCUGGGAACUGCAUUCGAAACUGGCAGGCUAGAGUCUUGUAGAGGGGGGUAGAAUUCCAGGUGUAGCGGUGAAAUGCGUAGAGAUCUGGAGGAAUACCGGUGGCGAAGGCGGCCCCCUGGACAAAGACUGACGCUCAGGUGCGAAAGCGUGGGGAGCAAACAGGAUUAGAUACCCUGGUAGUCCACGCCGUAAACGAUGUCGACUUGGAGGUUGUGCCCUUGAGGCGUGGCUUCCGGAGCUAACGCGUUAAGUCGACCGCCUGGGGAGUACGGCCGCAAGGUUAAAACUCAAAUGAAUUGACGGGGGCCCGCACAAGCGGUGGAGCAUGUGGUUUAAUUCGAUGCAACGCGAAGAACCUUACCUACUCUUGACAUCCAGAGAACUUAGCAGAGAUGCUUUGGUGCCUUCGGGAACUCUGAGACAGGUGCUGCAUGGCUGUCGUCAGCUCGUGUUGUGAAAUGUUGGGUUAAGUCCCGCAACGAGCGCAACCCUGCGUCGUAGUCCGGAUUGGAGUCUGCAACUCGACUCCAUGAAGUCGGAAUCGCUAGUAAUCGUAGAUCAGAAUGCUACGGUGAAUACGUUCCCGGGCCUUGUACACACCGCCCGUCACACCAUGGGAGUGGGUUGCAAAAGAAGUAGGUAGCUUAACCUUCGGGAGGGCGCUUACCACUUUGUGAUUCAUGACUGGGGUGAAGUCGUAACAAGGUAACCGUAGGGGAACCUGCGGUUG
rnacentral:rRNA from 1 species